UACAGAGGGUGCAAGCGUUAAUCGGAGUGACUGGGCGUAAAGGGCAUGUAGGCGGAAUGAUAAGUUAACUGUGAAAGCCCUGGGCUUAACCUGGGAAAGUCGGUUGAUACUGUCAUUCUGGAGUCUAGGAGAGGGAAGUGGAAUUUCCGGUGUAGCGGUGAAAUGCGUAGAUAUCGGAAAGAACACCAGUGGCGAAGGCGACUUCCUGGCCUAAGACUGACGCUGAGGUGCGAAAGCGUGGGUAGCGAAC
rnacentral:rRNA from 1 species